rnacentral:lncRNA from 1 species
CCAAAAUCUUCCAAAAAAUUAGAGUUUAUAUAGUUUUUAUCCAAAGCAAGUGGCAUCUGGCCAGAAGCGGGGCAAGAUUGAUGGGCAGGUGGUGGCACACAGGGACAAGCCACCGCUCGUCACCAGCUGCUGGAAUUCAGCGUUGUGUAGGAGCACAGAGCCCACCUUGGCCGGGCCACCACUCCUGUCAGGGUCUGUGGCAACUACUCACGCAGGGUCCGUGAGGCAAAUGGAGAAAUUCGGGGCCAAAUCUCACGGUGGCUUUUGUCCCCGAUCCCGCAGGAGGAGACCCAAAGUCCCGUUCAACGGCUACGCCGGCCACGAGAACACCAACGUGAGGGGCACCUUCGAGAACCCCAUGUACGACCGGAACCUGCAGCCCUCGGACAUCGUGGCGGGCGAGGCCGAGUUCACCGUGAGCACGGUGUGCACGGCCGUAUAGCGCCGUGCCCGCGCGAUUCCCGUGGCCGGUGUCCAGUGUGGAUGAUCGUCCCAGCUCACCAUCCAUCCAUCCCCUCCCCACCUCCCUGCUCCCGCCCCUGCCGAGGCUGCGGAGAAGCUGCUGGAAUUCCCCGGGGGCUGCUGGAUCCACCUCCUCCAUCCUGCCGGAUCUCCAAGCCAAAGGUUCUGCUCCGGCCCCGCUCCCACACCUCGGCAAGGCCUGGUGGUGGGAAGGCUUUCCCGAGCUGCUCCCGGCGCCCCUGGAAGGAGCUUCCCAAACUUUGGGAAGAGCUUGGGCGACAAAGAGGUCGUGCACAAGAUGCUGGAUUCGUGGAA